rnacentral:rRNA from 1 species
UGGGGAAUAUUGCACAAUGGGGGAAACCCUGAUGCAGCGACGCCGCGUGAACGAAGAAGGUAUUCGUAUCGUAAAGUUCUGUCCUAUGGGAAGAUAAUGACAGUACCAUAGAAGAAAGCUCCGGCUAAAUACGUGCCAGCAGCCGCGGUAAUACGUAUGGAGCGAGCGUUGUCCGGAAUUAUUGGGCGUAAAGGGUACGCAGGCGGUUUAAUAAGUCGAAUGUUAAAGAUCGGGGCUCAAACCCGCAAAGCAUUGGAAACUGAUAAACUUGAGUAGUGGAGAGGAAAGUGGAAUUCCUAGUGUAGUGGUGAAAUACGUAGAUAUUAGGAGGAAUACCAGUAGCGAAGGCGACUUUCUGGACACAAACUGACGCUGAGGUACGAAAGCGUGGGGAGCAAACAGG